rnacentral:rRNA from 1 species
CGAAAGUUCGCAACGAACCACAACAUCACAUAUCCGGAUUCGCUGGGCUGUCCAUCUGGACAUUCUGGCUACAGAAUUUCUUGACGACCAUAGAGCAUUGGAACCACCUGAUCCCAUCCCGAACUCAGCAGUGAAACGAUGCAUCGCCGAUGGUAGUGUGGGGUUUCCCCAUGUGAGAGUAGGUCAUCGUCAAGA